CGGGCUUGCUCGCGAAAGCGGUGUCUCAGCUUGCAUCAAUGCUGAAUGUUAAACCGCUUUCGCGAGCAAGCCCG
rnacentral:misc_RNA from 1 species